rnacentral:lncRNA from 1 species
UUUUUUUUUUAAAUAACCAGUCUUUAUGAUCUAAUUUUUCUGAUCUUGAAAUGGUAAUCACAUGCACAUUUUAAUUGAAGUUACAGAGUAAAAAAAAAAAACUAUCCCAUCCUUUGAAGAUUUGAAGAUUAUAAAAGAUUGGUUUGUUGUAGAAGAAAUUCAAGAAUACCCAGUUCAAUUCUUUCGUGCAUGCUACCCACUGCAAGCAGGAAUCAUUGAAUGCUUUACGUCAUGCAGAAUGUCAAAAGAAAGAACACAGAGAGGAAGGGUUCUUGGGUCUCCUGGAGUCAGCACAAAGGAUUUGAUGAGGUCAGAGUGCUGUCAGGCACCAGGGCUGCUAGACAUAGAGGAUAAACUGAUAUGCUUGGGUUUUAUAGCUGCUAGUGUACAGUUUGAUGUCAUAGCAGCUUAAUUUAAAUAGUGAAUUGAGAGUGUUGGCACAUGCCUGUAAUCCCAGUACUUAGGAGGCAGGAGCAAAAGCAUAAUGCCAGCUUAUUACAUAGCAAGUUCCAGGCCAGACAAAAUAAAGCCAAAAGUGUCUUUUUGCAGGGAAGUGACCUGAAGACAUACACCUCAACAUGCACACAUACAGUAAAAUUUUGGGUUGCCCACAAAAAAAGUUGAACUCCUGAGUGGGGUUAAUUGGUAACAUUGCCUGGGAUAUAAAAGUUAUUGGGUAAAUAUACCAGGAUAUAAAAACAUCUAUCUAGAACAUGAUAUAAAGUUCUAAGUGAAAGAUUUUUUAGGGUGAAUAUACAUGCCCACCCCCAAUGCUGGUUGUAGUACCUUGAGCCUUGCAUGUAGUAAGUGCUCCAUCACUUAGCCACAUCCCUAGCUUAUUUGGUUUUUCUGCAUUACUGCACAUUUGAUUGAUGUGGUAACGGUUUUCAUUUGUUAACGUUGCUAGAUAACUUUUGUAUAACCCUAAGUAAAUAAUUUCAUCUUUCCAUUUUCCAAAUCAGUAGCUGGGGGAGAUUGAGAAGAUGAAUCCUGAGUCUUGACUUCCAAGGGUACUUACUGUGGAGGAGGCCAGCUUUCCUAGCAUGGGACCCAUCCUUCAGCUUUGGUUUCACUCCUGCUCCCUUUGCGUUCACAAGUGUGAACCAAAGAGGUUGGAAAUGGUUGUUCUGUAUUAUCCAGCACUGAUGGGCGAAACCAUGGAUAAGCGCAGAGGGGGCCUUCUGACCUUUAAGUCAGUAAACUCUUCUUUUCUAACCUUACUCCCAGCUAUUUUCAGUUUGUUAGACAUUAGGUUUGAAAGUAAUGCCACAUUGGAUAAAUUCAUUUUAUUUUUGAGAUUAGAGUUUAGGGAUUGCAAAAAUAAAAUGUUGGUUCCAGUACCUCUUAGUGUCUCUUACACUGUAGUUUUAUUUAUCAUUGUGUAUGUACUCCAUGACCUGUGGAAGUCAGUGUACUUGGAGAGUCAUUUCUCUCUCCUACCUUUAUGUGGUUUCUAGAUUAACCUCAGGUUACCAGGCUUGCAAGGCAAGUUUCUUUGCCUACUGAGACAUCUUGUCAGCCCUUCAUGCAUUUUAAUAUGAAUUAUUCCACAAUAUUAAUUAUAUCUUCUAUCCAGAACAUUAUGAGCACUCAUAUGUAAAAUGCUUUGACCUAAAAGAUGAAACAUUAAGCUUUGGAACAUGGAUCUCCACAAUGUAGAAAUUAUGGCAUCGUGGCCAGAAAAUAGGCAGGUUAAACGUUCUUGCCACCAGCCUAGUGAGCGGAGUUUGAUCCCUGGGACCAACUCAUACAGGUUGUCCUCUGGUACCACACACACAUGUACACAGAUUAAUUUU